GCAAAGAUUUAUCGCACACAGAUGGGCUCGCGUCCGAUUAGGCAGUUGGUGAGGUAACGGCUCACCAAACCGACGAUCGGUAGCCGGACUGAGAGGUUGAACGGCCACAUUGGAACUGAGAAACGGUCCAGACUCCUACGGGAGGCAGCAGUGGGGAAUAUUGGGCAAUGGGGGAAACCCUGACCCAGCGACGCCGCGUGAGGGAAGACGGUCUUCGGAUUGUAAACCUCUUUCAGCAGGGAAGAAGAAGUGACGGUACCUGCAGAAGAAGCCACGGCUAACUACGUGCCAGCAGCCGCGGUAAUACGUAGGUGGCAAGCGUUAUCCGGAUUUAUUGGGUGUAAAGGGUGUGUAGGCGGGACUGCAAGUCAGACGUGAAAAUCAUGGGCUCAACCCAUGACUUGCGUUUGAAACUGCGGUUCUUGAGAGUGGGAGAGGUAAACGGAAUUCCUGGUGUAGCGGUGAAAUGCGUAGAUAUCAGGAGGAACACCGGUGGCGAAGGCGGUUUACUGGACCACAACUGACGCUGAGACACGAAAGCGUGGGGAGCAAACAGGAUUAGAUACCCUGGUAGUCCACGCC
rnacentral:rRNA from 1 species